AUGGGAGAAGCACAAGCAGCAGCAGCGGCGGCCACCAUGGGAGAAGAUACCCAGAGCAAGGGGGCGGCAAUGGUGGUGGUGCCUGCGCCGCGGCCGCGCAAGGGGGUGGCGUCCUGGGCGGUCGACCUGCUCGAGCGGCUCGCCGUCCGCCUCCGUCACGACGACAAGAAAGCCGAGCCCAUCCCCUGGCUCUCCGGCAACUUCGCCCCCGUGCCGGACGAGACCCCGCCCGCCGCCGGCCUCCCCGUCCGCGGACACCUCCCGAAGUGCUUGAAUGGAGAAUUUGUCAGGGUGGGGCCUAACCCCAAGUUUGCCCCUCUUGCAGGGUAUCAUUGGUUUGAUGGGGAUGGAAUGAUCCAUGCAAUGCGCAUUAAAGAUGGAAAAGCUACAUAUGUAUCAAGAUAUGUGAAGACUUCUCGCCUCGAGCAAGAAGAGUAUUUUGGUGGAGCAAAGUUUACCAAGAUUGGAGAUCUAAAGGGUGUUUUUGGAUUGUUUAUGGUUCUAACACAAGAACUUAGGAAGAAACUUAAAGUCUUAGAUGCUACUUACGGAAUUGGAACAGCUAAUACUGCGCUUAUAUAUCAUCAUGGCAAACUCAUGGCCCUGUCAGAAUCAGAUAAACCUUAUGUUGUUAAGAUCCUUGAAGAUGGAGACUUGCAAACUCUUGGUUUGUUGGAUUAUGACAAAAGGUUGAAACAUCCUUUCACUGCUCAUCCAAAGGUUGAUCCAUUCACAGAUGAAAUGUUCACCUUUGGGUAUUCGCAUGAACCUCCCUAUUGUACAUAUCGGAUCAUCACCAAGGACGGAAUUAUGCUUGACCCUGUGCCAAUAACAAUACCGGAAUCUGUAAUGAUGCAUGACUUUGCCAUUACAGAGAACUAUUCCAUAUUUAUGGACUUGCCAAUGUUUUUUCGACCAAAGGAAAUGGCGAAGAAUGGUGAAUUUAUCUACAAGUUUGAUCCUACAAAGAACGCUCGGUUUGGUAUACUCCAACGCUAUGAGAAGGACGAAAAGACCAUCAGAUGGUUUGAACUCCCCAAUUGCUUCAUAUUCCACAAUGCUAACGCCUGGGAAGAGGGUGACGAAGUUAUUCUCAUUACAUGUCGUCUCAACAACCUAGAUUUGGACCAAGUGAAUGGUCACCAAAGUGACAAGCUUGAGGAUCCCGGGAAUGAGUUGUACGAGAUGAGAUUCAACAUGAAAACAGGUGCUGCUUCGCAGAAACAACUAUCAGUAUCUGCCAUAGACUUUCCUCGGAUCAAUGAGAGUUAUACUGGCAGAAAGCAGCGGUACAUCUACUGCACGAUACUUGAGAGCACAGUGAAGGUGACUGGCAUCUUAAAAAUGAUUGGCAUCAUAAAAUUUGACCUACAUGCGGAGCCAGAGAGCGACAAGGAGCAGCUUGAAGUUGGGGGGAAUGUGAGGGGCAUAUAUGACCUAGGGCCUAGUAGGUUUUGUUCGGAGGCGGUCUUCGUGCCCAAGGAGCCUGGUGUUUUAGGGGAAGAAGAUGAUGGGUACUUGAUAUUCUUUGUGCACGAUGAAAACACAGGGAAAUCUGAAAUAAAUGUGAUUGAUGCCAAGACGAUGUGUGCUGAUCCAGUGGCGGUUGUUGAGCUGCCGAGCCGGGUUCCUUACGGAUUCCAUGCCUUCUUUGUCAAUGAGGAACAACUAGGACAUCAAGUAGAGCGGUGA
rnacentral:rRNA from 1 species